AGUGAACGCUGGCGGUAGGCCUAACACAUGCAAGUCGAACGGCAGCACAGUAAGAGCUUGCUCUUACGGGUGGCGAGUGGCGGACGGGUGAGGAAUACAUCGGAAUCUACUUUUUCGUGGGGGAUAACGUAGGGAAACUUACGCUAAUACCGCAUACGACCUACGGGUGAAAGCAGGGGAUCUUCGGACCUUGCGCGAUUGAAUGAGCCGAUGUCGGAUUGGCUAGUUGGCGGGGUAAAGGCCCACCAAGGCGACGAUCCGUAGCUGGUCUGGGAGGAGGGUCAGCCACACUGGAACUGAGACACGGUCCAUGGGCCUACGGGAGGGAGCAGAGGGGAAUAUUGGACAGUGGUCGCAAGCCUGAUCCAGCCAUACCGCGUGUGUGAAGAAGGCCUUCGGGUUGUAAAGCCCUUUUGUUGGGAAAGAAAAGCAGCAGGUUAAUACCCCGCUGUUCUGACGGUACCCAAAGAAGAAGCACCGGCUAACUUCGUG
rnacentral:rRNA from 1 species